CAGGGUCCUGGAGGGCCUUGCCUAUCUACGCCGGGCACUGGGUGAGAGUCUGGGUGCACCCUGGACAUGUCGCCAGUCCACUAUAGGGUGCACCCUGCCUCUUCUGCAGAUUGGCAGUAGCUACGACCAUGAAAGGAUAAGUCUGCCACUGAUUGGUCAAGCAAUCCUUUGCGACGGCUCCUUCCCUGGACAAGCUGGGUAAGAGAGAAGCAGAGCACUCACCAAGAAGGCCUUUUCCAAGUGAUUCAAAAGAGGACUGAUAACCCUGGCGGAUUCAACUGAAAUAAUCCUGCUUUGCGUUUCUCUGUUUUUGUUCUGGUUCCAGGUCCAAGAUGAAGAAACACCAAGAUACCCAAUGACCUGGGCCAGAACCGACAGUUACAAGUCUAGGAGUGACCUUCCUGCCAAACAUCAGCUCUUUGGUCUGUGAUCUUCCCGUCAGCCGAGCUGAGAGAUCAGAUUAUGGGAGCAGCAUUAGUCCAGUCAGUUCCACGAGUGAGACAACAGCCCAGUGUUAGACCAGAUAAGGUACUUUUCUCUUGUUCAGUCAUGGUGGUUCUGGUGUCAAAAGUUGACAAAUCAAAAGGUUGUUCAUCUAGUGGCAGAAUACUUCAUUCUAAUCUGACAUCGAAGAGUAGUAUUAGUGCAGUUCCUUUGUGUUUGUUUUCUCAGUAGAUAUAAAAGAGAAGAUUUUAAUGUGGCUAAAAAUAAAUAGAAUUUUAAUUACUAGCUCCCAUUAAUUUUUCUUAUAAUCCUUAGAAAAGUAAUUAUCCUUAAUUGAUCCUAAGUAAAUUUUCCAUCUCCUCAUAUUAAUAUUAAUAUACAUUAUACACUCACCGGCCACUUUAUUAGGUACACCUUGUUAGUACUGGGUUGGACCCACUUUUGCCUA